rnacentral:sRNA from 1 species
UGAAAACAAAACAGGAGAUUGCUGACUGAUGCCCCAGGAAAACCAUCAUCCUUAGGAUGGGAAAUGUUCUACCCAGGCUCACGUUGAAGGCUGGCUCCCCUAGCUGAAGACACUGUAGAGAGUAUCCUUCACCAGCUGCAAAUUUUAAACAGAAAGCUUCUGGAAGACUCGUGCUCACGGCCAAGAUCACAGAGGACCCGCAUUAGGAAGAAUUGGAACCAAGCCUAGAAGUUUUUACAGAAAGCAGUCACUGGAAACUGGAAGGUAAAUGUGGUGGAUUGAGAGUCACAGUGAUUUCAGCCAGGGACCAGGAGCUCAAAGAGGGGCUCAAUGUGGGGAGGGGUCUGUGCCCAUUCUAUGCCUUCUAUCUCAUAUCACUUGCUGAGUCUCUAUUAGGUAAAACCACCUUCAGAGAAGUGGGCUGAGAGAAAAUGCAAGGUGUGUAAAAGGCUUCCAUCAUUACUGGUAUAUUUUUUAUUUAUUUCCCUGGUCAUGUUAAUACUAAAUAAUAGAGCCCUGCCUUUGUUGUUUGAUUUACAAGCCUUCAGCAAUGUCUACUGAUCUGAGCUGACAAUGGCAUUGAGUCUUUGUCACUGUCAUCUACCCUCACGUGCCUUUUUAGCCACCCACUGUGUAGUCACAUUGCUGUUUUCAUGGCACUAUCACUCAGCAUAUUGUCCUCCCACACAAGUCAAUAGGUUUAUGCUUUGAACCCUAUGCUGAUUGAUAAGACUUCAUAACAAACUCACUAUAUAUUUGUUUGCAAUAGAUUCUUUACUGAGCUCUUAUCUGGAUAACUUCUUUCAUUUUGGUCUCUAAAAGCUUGUGGGUACUUUUGUCUUUGAUGGACGAGCUAUCACUUUCACUUUCUACUUGGGUGAUAGCUUAGCUGGAUAUAAAAUUAUUGAGAACCAUUUUUAAUCCACUAAAGUCUUUAUGAGUGCUGUUUCACACUCUUUUGACACUGAAAGAGCUGACAGAAAAACCCCAAGACAGCUCAAUGUUGUCCUCUAUAUUGACUACAUGUUUGGGGCAGUGAAUUCUUGCAAGAGUACUUCUUUAUCUCUCACUUUU